rnacentral:rRNA from 1 species
UGGGGAAUAUUGGACAAUGGGGGAAACCCUGAUCCAGCCAUGCCGCGUGUGUGAUGAAGGCCUUCGGGUUGUAAAGCACUUUCGCACGUGAAGAUGAUGACGGUAACGUGAGAAGAAGCCCCGGCUAACUUCGUGCCAGCAGCCGCGGUAAUACGAAGGGGGCAAGCGUUGUUCGGAAUUACUGGGCGUAAAGGGCGCGUAGGCGGUGCACUAAGUCAGGCGUGAAAGCCCUGGGCUCAACCCGGGAAUUGCGCUUGAUACUGGUGCGCUUGAAUCCAGGAGAGGUUGGUGGAAUUCCCAGUGUAGAGGUGAAAUUCGUAGAGAUUGGGAAGAACACCGGUGGCGAAGGCGGCCAACUGGACUGGUAUUGACGCUGAGGCGCGAAAGCGUGGGGAGCAAA